UACGGGGGGGGGCAAGCGUUGUUCGGAAUUACUGGGCGUAAAGGGCUCGUAGGUGGCCAACUAAGUCAGACGUGAAAUCCCUCGGCUUAACCGGGGAACUGCAUCUGAUACUGGAUGGCUUGAGAUUGGGAGAGGGUCGCGGAAUUCCCGGUGUAGAGGUGAAAUUCGUAGAUAUCGGGAGGAACACCGGUGGCGAAGGCGGAUCUCUGGGCCAUUACUGACGCUGAGGAGCGAAAGCGUGGGGAGCGAACACGG
rnacentral:rRNA from 1 species